CUGACCUCAAAUCAGGUAGGAUUACCCGCUGAACUUAAGCAUAUCAAUAAGCGGAGGAAAAGAAACUAACAAGGAUUCCCCUAGUAACUGCGAGUGAAG
rnacentral:rRNA from 1 species